CCGAGGUCCGCCGCGUGCUGAGAGUCAUGGCGGCUCCUGUCUGCGCGGCACCCGCCCGGCAGCCUCAGGCCCGUGGUGGUGGUCUUCCUUUAGCAUCUGUUGAGAAGAUGGGAAGCAGAGCUCCAGGUUCCACCUUAAAAAGUGAUGGACUCAGAAGAACCGGAAGCGGAUGGAAGCAAGACUUCCUGUGGUCACCUGCAGUGGGAAAGCAGAUAUGUCUUGCAUGGUCUAGCUCAUGCUAAAAAGGUGUUGGCUGUGGAUUUAGAAAAGUCACAUGAACAUCCAUCAUCUUGAGAAUCCAUCAUCAGCAUGAGAAUCUUUGAUGACAUUUUGGUGUGUGGUGCAGUUUCAGUCUGAGUUUCUGGGACUGAAAAGGGAGCUGUGGCAGCCACCUGGACCCACGGUGGAGUACCCCGUGCAUGGAAGGAGAGCCCCUGAACAGGCUGCCUUGGGGUCCACGGCUGUGCUGAGUAGAGGGGGCACUUUAUCAGAGUUCUUUCUUUUCUUGGCCAGCUUCCUGCCCUUAACUGCUUUGCCUCA